CGUGCCUGGCGUCCCCACGCAUGCGCAGUUAGAGAAAGCUGGCGGAAGGAAAGGAUUGUCACCCUCUCCGUCCGUCUCCUGCAUCCCUGUCUGCAAGGUCUACUGCCAAGAGCAGUGUUUCCAAAGUGAUUUUACCAGUCUGAACUACCAUCAAUGCUGUUGAAAGAUCCUGUUGCAUUAUUUCUUCAUUAACAGGGAAAGGAGGCCCCAGCAGGCUAAUGCCUCGAAGAACGUGCCCUGGAGUAGAAUUGUCUGGAGUUUUAUAGUCUACAAGGAGAAAAACUGGGUUUCUGAUAAGAAUCAGCAUUGGGAAAAACAUUCUUCUUUCUUUGGGAGAAUCUUCCUCCUGGAAGCUCCUUUGAUCAUGAUCUUGGUGUGAUGCUUGUGAUGGCCUUCCGAGUUAUUGCCCAGAAUAACCAUCCUUGCAAAUAGGUCCUGUGGAUCAGAGAACAGAACAAACUGUAACCGACAAGGGGUCCUGGUUCCUCUUCAAGGAAUAUACACAAUAUCUUUGAGCCUUUCUGCAGAACGACUUGAUGAAGGAAUUUCUGGAAUCAGCACCAGAAUCUGUCCUGAGUUCACUAAACAUCAGCUUUGAAAGACAAUGCAAGCUUGCCUCUACCCUGAUCCUUAUCUGUGGCUCUAUUUUCCACUCCCCAAACUAAUCUCCACCUCCUAAUCUCUCCCAAAGUGAGCAGUCUUUAAAGCAUUAGCCUGCUGUGGCCCCCUUUUCCUGGAAAGUAAUAAAGCUACC